rnacentral:rRNA from 1 species
UGGGAAUAUUGCACAAUGGGCGAAAGCCUGAUGCAGCAACGCCGCGUGAGUGAUGAAGGCCUUCGGGUUGUAAAGCUCUGUCUUUUGGGACGAUAAUGACGGUACCAAAGGAGGAAGCCACGGCUAACUACGUGCCAGCAGCCGCGGUAAUACGUAGGUGGCAAGCGUUGUCCGGAUUUACUGGGCGUAAAGGAUGCGUAGGCGGAUUUUUAAGUGAGAUGUGAAAACCCUAAGCUUAACUUGGGGACUGCAUUUCAAUACUGGAAAUCUAGAGUGCGGGAGAGGAGAAUGGAAUUCCUAGUGUAGCGGUGAAAUGCGUAGAGAUUAGGAAGAACACCAGUGGCGAAGGCGAUUCUCUGGACCGUAACUGACGCUGAGGCAUGAAAGCGUGGGUAGCAAACAGGAUUAGAUACCCUGGUAGUCCACGCCGUAAACGAUGAGUACUAGGUGUAGGAGGUAUCGACCCCUUCUGUGCCGCAGUUAACACAAUAAGUACUCCGCCUGGGAAGUACGAUCGCAAGAUUAAAACUCAAAUGAAUUGACGGGGUCAUAGCUGUUUUCCU